GUCGUCGUCGUCGUCGUCAUCGAAGAUAUUAUACUUCCUGAGCCGGGCAACUGUUCCGUGCUUCCUUACUUCCCAUAGUGAAUGUGACGUAUGGAAUGUAAAGAAGUAUGGAGCUGCGCCCAGGUGUAUCAUCGAGUAGGAGCGAAGGUUGGAGCUUGUUAUUUCCCGCGAAGUUUAUUCGACGCCUGAUAAAACGAUCGACGGCAUUGUUGUUCGAACGGGAAGCACGAAGAUUUUGCAAUGGCCGACGGGGCGAUCGUGCGUUGAAUGUUGCGAAAUGAAAUUUUCGUUGAAAUUUCGCGUUCCCGCGAACUUUGUUGACGAGAAAAGUGAUGACGCCACCAUUGGUCACAUUCGGAAGUCCCAGGAAAAUGUAUUUCCGAGAUUAUCGCGGUACAAAAGGAUUGCAUUAACGGGGUUAGGUCCGGGACUGGCAGCUACGGGCCAGAAAUAGACCCUGUUCCACGUAUUCAGUAACAUGGCGCGAACAUCUUUCUACGUCCAUGUGGACUCUUGUGUUCUCUAUUUACUGACCUGCCGUGACUACCAUGUGGUCGCCAGCUUGAUUUAAAUCGGCGAAGUAUUUCAACGCGUUCCCAGGCCUUGACUCCCUCUCCCGCCAAGCCUGGGGACUCAUGAACUAGAGAUUUUCUUCUUGCAGAUGUCAGAGAUGCGCUGGUAGGAGUGAAAUACGGGGGAAAAGUGUUCUCUACAUGAUUUUCAGCGGAUAACGAUUAACAGUACCAUUUAUAAGCAAUACGUGUAGAAAUGACGAGUCUCCAAAUAUUAUGUAAAGUUCCAGGGUCUGCGGUAGUUUUUCACGAGUAAGUAAGAAAGCGUGUGCUGCGCGCCAGAUGUUUUGAUCUUGUUACGUAGGAGAAAAAGAUGGUUCGUACUCUAUUAAGAUUUUAUAUGGUAAAUAAUCAGAAUGUUCUCAAGGACAUAGGUGAGUUUUGCAGGCAGAGAAAACGAGUUACGCGUAAUGCGUUCAGCUGAAAAAGUGCACCGAGCAGAUCAAUGGGAGAGAGGAUAUUGGAGGAAUGGGAAAUAGGAAACUGAAAGGAGAUCCUCUUUCGACGACGGAGUUAAAAAUAGGACGCAUUCGGUCACCACCAUAUUUCCAUAAAUGAAUUCUCCGGUUACAGGGUCUAUUUCCGGUCCAAGCCGACAACCGGAGUCACAACCAAUUACAAUCGAUAGCGGAACGGUCCGCAAAGAUUUAUGAUCGGUCGUGAAAUCAAUUGUCCGGUAACCCUCGAAAAAUCGAUGAUCAAUUACAAUAUAUAAAUUUACGUAUUUCAUUUAUGUAAAUAAAGAAACCUUUGAGAAGUAACAUUUUGUAGGGUGCUUUAAAAAUGUUGAUGAGUUAGUGAUACAGUUAGCAUUCUUAUAUCUACGAAUAUGUGUUUUCAAUGUCAUUUGAAAAUCUGAUUUAUAUGAUCCUACCUCUUUAGUAAAUUAUUGUAAUGUACUUCAACAUAUUUUCAUAUUUUUAUUUUUAAUAUUGGUGUUAUCACAAAUACUACAUUUGAGAUAUAUUAUUUAUAGGAAUAAAUAAAUUUUGAACCAAUAAAUGAAGGACAUUACAAACUCUGUCGACACUUCAAUUCUAUAAAAUUUUUCUGAAGAGUGUGUCACAGAGAAAAUAAAAUUUUGUAUUUAUUUUGUCCGUUAUCACUUUAUUUUUUAUAUAGAUUGUAGGUUUCAAAAAUACCUAUUACAUUUAAA